GAUCAUGGCUCAGGAUGAACUCUAGCUACAGGCUUAACACAUGCAAGUCGAGGGGCAGCAUGGUCUUAGCUUGCUAAGGCCGAUGGCGACCGGCGCACGGGUGAGUAACACGUAUCCAACCUGCCGUCUACUCUUGGACAGCCUUCUGAAAGGAAGAUUAAUACAAGAUGGCAUCAUGAGUUCACAUGUUCACACGAUUAAAGGUAUUCCGGUAGACGAUGGGGA
rnacentral:rRNA from 1 species